ensembl:lncRNA
CUCAGAGGCAAAUAUGUUACUUUUUAUUCAACCACAGUUUUUCAAUUUUUCAUUUCCCAUGUGUCCAGUGAAAACCUUGUAUCUCCACAUUUGGUGAAUUAAAGUUUCAGAUAAACUGAAGGCUGAAGUGUUCCUUUAUGGGUUGAGAAAAUGUUAGAACAGGGUUGGAUCUGAAGCCUGCAGGACAGUCGCUAUCCAGGAGCAAGUGGGUUUUCCUGACUGGACCAUUAGUGUUUGGACUGGAGUGAGUGCAUUUCUGAUUCAGCAAACCACCCCUCCCUCUUAUCAAAACAUGGUCACACCCAGCCCC